rnacentral:lncRNA from 1 species
CCCGAUGUUGGGAUUAGUGUCCAAAUAAGAGAAGGAAGAGACCAGAGCUUAUUCGUACUAUGACAUAUAGAUAGUGCACUGCAAGAAGAAGGUGGCCUCUGCCAGCCGGAAGACAGCCCUCACCAGAACCCAACCAUGCUGGCACCUUUAUCUCAGACUUCUAGCCUCCAGAGCUGUGAGAGAUAAAUGUCUGUUGGUUAAGCCCCCAAGUCUAUGGUAUUCUGUUGUAUCAGGCUAGGGCAGACACAGGCAUUCCUACACCCAGACAUGUGGAUGGUUUCUUGAUAUAUCACCUGUGACUCUUUCUAGGGCCUUCUCUAGCCCUGGAAGCAUGCUUGGCUUGGCCAGUGCAGGGCUCAGCAGAAGUAUUGAAGGGUUAGUGCCUUUGGGACAGCCCUAAACAGUGACAGGCAGGCAUCAGUGGACGGAGCCCCCCACCCUACUGCUGACCCGGCAGUAGACAACUCUGAGACCUGCUUCCCUCUGUCUCCCAGCAAGCUUGAGGCCACUCUGCCAGCCCCUUCCCCUCCCUGCCUCAUCUCUCCACCCUGCUCCCGAUGCUUCCUGGGAUCACCUCCCAAACAAACUGCUGUCAUUCAAAUCUUUCUCUCAGGGUCUGCUCUUGAGGGCCCCAGUCUAAGGCAUGGGCAUUUGAAACCUAUGAGGGAAGACUCACUUCUUGCAGGGCAGGAGAAGAGGGCUUAGCUCAAUUUUUAGAUGAAAUCUCUCCUUGUGACUUUUUUUUCAAACGAUAAUGCAUGUAUAAAAGGGAAAAUAAAAUACAUGUAGUAUUCUUUGUAAGUUGUGAAUGAGUCCUUUGAAACCAUUUUUCUAAUUUCGUGAUUUUCCUGAUACGUGUUUCCUGAGAGGAGCUGUAAUGAAAAAGUAGUCAGAGUGGUUGGAUGUCAGGUGAAGUUUGUUAGGUGAGUAUUUAACCUAGUCAUUCUUUCCACAUUGCUAUUGGCCACCAAAUAAGACUUUUUAUUAUUCUUGAAGAACGGUGAUUCAAUACCCUUAGACUUACUGUCCUCUGCCUUCCCCACCCUUCCACCCACAUUCAACUCAGUGAGGAGGCCCACAGUGCCGGCCGCUCCAUUCACAGGCUCUGCCACUGGGUGUGCCAGACUGGAGGCUCUCAUUGCCCCAUGGAGAAUUUUCACACACUUCCUCAUGGCCAGCUGUGACUGCUGACGGGGGGCGCACUUUUGAUAGAGGAGCUCCCAACUGGGCAUGGAUCAGAGAGCAGGCCCUGGAGAGCAGACCAAGAUCAGGUCACUGGUAAGCUGCCCACUCCCUGAAGGGAGGGAAGAGAGGGUUGCUGAGCCUCCAAGGAAGGAGGACCCUGAAGAAGCUCCUGUGGUUUCUCCUUGGCUCACCCCUGCCCAGCCAGAACUUUGGGCAGCUUCUAGGUGGACUGCCCUGAGCCAGCACAGGGCCCUUUGGGUCCUGCCCCAUCCAGGGCUAAGCCUCCAGUGUGUCUUCCCCAGGGGCCCAGCUGGGGCCACCAUGUGGGCUGGCGUGGAGACCCCUGACAAGAAACCACCUCCACCAGAGAGCCAGGCCCAGUGGGAUCUGUGUAUCCAUGUUGCUUCAUUCAGCCAAUUGAUGUUCAUAUUACAGAGAACUGAAAAUCAGAAUGCCUGGAUUCAGAACCCAAGCCUGUCACUUACUGACGUGGUGCUCUUGGUGGAAUAGGUGCACUCCCUGGCCCUUGGUGGCCUCAUGCAUGGGGUGGCAGUGAGGCAGGAGAACGGAGCUGGGUUGAGAGAACCCAGUGCAGAUGCAGAUGAUGCUCAUGGGGUGCCUUUCACUUCCUUCCUAUGCUUCCUCCGUCCCUUGUUAUUGAUCACGGAGGAAGCUUGUGAGGCAGGAAGUAAAGAGGUAACUGGAUGCCACAUACCUGUACCCCCUCUACCCCUCAUUGAUGAUUGGGGACCUCAAGCGGUUUCCACGUGUGAUUCUUCUGCUUGGCACUGCCCUUGUUUCCCGUGGGUGAUGGCUGUUGGGAUUGAUAAAUUAACUCAGCAUCCCAUCUAUAGCUUCCAGCUCUGGGACUAGGAGAACAAUAGGAGAGGUGACCUUUGAACCCUAGGACUGGGGAGUGCCAAAACGCC